rnacentral:rRNA from 1 species
AUUGAACGCUGGCGGCAUGCCUUACACAUGCAAGUCGAACGGCAGCACGGGUACUUGCACCUGGUGGCGAGUGGCGAACGGGUGAGUAAUACAUCGGAACAUGUCCUGUAGUGGGGGAUAGCCCGGCGAAAGCCGGAUUAAUACCGCAUACGAUCCACGGAUGAAAGCGGGGGACCUUCGGGCCUCGCGCUAUAGGGUUGGCCGAUGGCUGAUUAGCUAGUUGGUGGGGUAAAGGCCUACCAAGGCGACGAUCAGUAGCUGGUCUGAGAGGACGACCAGCCACACUGGGACUGAGACACGGCCCAGACUCCUACGGGAGGCAGCAGUGGGGAAUUUUGGACAAUGGGCGAAAGCCUGAUCCAGCAAUGCCGCGUGUGUGAAGAAGGCCUUCGGGUUGUAAAGCACUUUUGUCCGGAAAGAAAUCCUUGACUCUAAUACAGUCGGGGGAUGACGGUACCGGAAGAAUAAGCACCGGCUAACUACGUG